CUUCAAAUGAUGCACGGCCCAUGUCCAUAAUAAGAGAUGUGUUUGGACCACACAGAGCUCUGGGACGUGUGGACAGACAUUCGCUGUAAUGAAGGACAUCUGCUCAUGGACAGAAGCAUAACCACUGCUGGACAUCGCUCUGGGACUCAGGGGGGGACCCGAAUCAUCCUCACCCCUUCAUUCACACAACACUCACUCAUAUCACAGAGAUCUGGCUGGGAUCAAACCAGCAACCUCUGAACCUUGAGGCAGUGCUCUUACCUGUGAGCCACAGAUCUCUUAUCUGAACAUGUGCUGGAACUUAUAUUUCACUGUUCACCUGCAUGUGAUUUUACAAUAAACCUGUUA